rnacentral:rRNA from 1 species
AUUGAACGCUGGCGGCAGGCCUAACACAUGCAAGUCGAGCGAGCGGCGGACGGGUGAGUAAUGUCUGGGAAACUGCCCGAUGGAGGGGGAUAACUACUGGAAACGGUAGCUAAUACCGCAUACCAUCAGAUGUGCCCAUAUGGGAUUAGCUAGUGGGUGGGGUAAUGGCUCACCUAGGCGACGAUCCCUAGCUGGUCUGAGAGGAUGACCAGCCAAACGGGAACUGGGACACGGUCCAGACUCCUACGGGAGGCAGCAGGGGGGAAUAUUGCACAUUGGGCGCAAGCCUGAUGCAGCCAUGCCGCGUGUGUGAAGAAGGCCUUCGGGUUGUAAAGUCCUUUCAGCGGGGAGGCGUUACCCACAGAAGAAGCACCGGCUAACUCCGUGCCAGCAGCCGCGGUAAUAC